rnacentral:rRNA from 1 species
UUAAAUUGAAGAGUUUGAUCAUGGCUCAGAUUGAACGCUGGCGGCAGGCCUAACACAUGCAAGUCGAACGGUAGCACAGAGAGCUUGCUCUCGGGUGACGAGUGGCGGACGGGUGAGUAAUGUCUGGGAAACUGCCUGAUGGAGGGGGAUAACUACUGGAAACGGUGGCUAAUACCGCAUAACGUCGCAAGACCAAAGAGGGGGACCUU